GAUGAACGCUGGCGGCGUGCUUAACACAUGCAAGUCGAACGAGAGAAGAUCGGUGCUUGCACUGAUCCGAUCGAGUGGCGGACGGGUGAGUAACGCGUGGGUAACCUGCCUCAUACAGGGGAAUAACAGUUGGAAACGGCUGCUAAAACCGCAUAAGCGCACAGUAUCGCAUGAUACAGUGUGAAAAACUCCGGUGGUAUGAGAUGGACCCGCGUCUGAUUAGCUAGUUGGUGAGGUAACGGCCCACCAAGGCAACGAUCAGUAGCCGGCCUGAGAGGGUGAACGGCCACAUUGGGACUGAGACACGGCCCAAACUCCUACGGGAGGCAGCAGUGGGGAAUAUUGCACAAUGGGGGAAACCCUGAUGCAGCGACGCCGCGUGAGUGAUGAAGUAUUUCGGUAUGUAAAGCUCUAUCAGCAGGGAAGAUAAUGACGGUACCUGACUAAGAAGCACCGG
rnacentral:rRNA from 1 species